rnacentral:rRNA from 1 species
AUGGCUCAGAACGAACGCUGGCGGCAGGCUUAACACAUGCAAGUCGAGCGAGACCUUCGGGUCUAGCGGCGGACGGGUGAGUAACGCGUGGGAACGUGCCCUUCUCUACGGAAUAGCCGCGGGAAACUGGGAGUAAUACCGUAUACGCCCUUUGGAGGAAAGAUUUAUCGGAGAAGGAUCGGCCCGCGUUGGAUUAGGUAGUUGGUGGGGUAAUGGCCCACCAAGCCGACGAUCCAUAGCUGGUUUGAGAGGAUGAUCAGCCACACUGGGACUGAGACACGGCCCAGACUCCUACGGGAGGCAGCAGUGGGGAAUCUUAGACAAUGGGGGCAACCCUGAUCUAGCCAUGCCGCGUGAGUGAUGAAGGCCUUAGGGUUGUAAAGCUCUUUCAGCUGGGAAGAUAAUGACGGUACCAGCAGAAGAAGCCCCGGCUAACUCCGUGCCAGCAGCCGCGGUAAUACGGAGGGGGCUAGCGUUGUUCGGAAUUACUGGGCGUAAAGCGCACGUAGGCGGACUGGAAAGUCAGAGGUGAAAUCCCAGGGCUCAACCUUGGAACUGCCUUUGAAACUAUCAGUCUGGAGUUCGAGAGAGGUGAGUGGAAUUCCGAGUGUAGAGGUGAAAUUCGUAGAUAUUCGGAGGAACACCAGUGGCGAAGGCGGCUCACUGGCUCGAUACUGACGCUGAGCUCGA